rnacentral:rRNA from 1 species
UGCAAGUCGAGCGGCAGCGCGGGGCAACCUGGCGGCGAGCGGCGAACGGGUGAGUAAUGCAUCGGAACAUGUCCAUGUCGUGGGGGAUAGCCCGGCGAAAGCCGGAUUAAUACCGCAUACGCCCGAGAGGGGAAAGUGGGGGACUCGCAAGGGCCUCACGCGAUUGGGUUGGCCGAUGUCCGAUUAGCUAGUUGGCGGGGUAAGAGCCCACCAAGGCGAUGAUCGGUAGCUGGUCUGAGAGGAUGAUCAGCCACACUGGGACUGAGACACGGCCCAGACUCCUACGGGAGGCAGCAGUGGGGAAUUUUGGACAAUGGGGGAAACCCUGAUCCAGCCAUUCCGCGUGAGUGAAGAAGGCCUUCGGGUUGUAAAGCUCUUUUGUCCGGAGCGAAACGGUGCUGGUGAAUAGCCAGCGCUACUGACGGUACCGGAAGAAUAAGCACCGGCUAACUACGUGCCAGCAGCCGCGGUAAUACGUAGGGUGCGAGCGUUAAUCGGAAUUACUGGGCGUAAAGCGUGCGCAGGCGGUUUUGUAAGCCAGAUGUGAAAUCCCCGGGCUUAACCUGGGAAUGGCAUUUGGGACUGCAAGGCUGGAGUGCGGCAGAGGAGACUGGAAUUCCUGGUGUAGCAGUGAAAUGCGUAGAUAUCA